rnacentral:rRNA from 1 species
GAUGAACGCUGGCGGCGUGCCUCAAACAUGCAAGUCGAGCGAGGCUAUGAAUUACCGCAAGGUAAGGCAUAGCCUAGCGGCGAACGGGUGAGUAACACGUGGGUAACCUACCUGGAAGACAGGGAUAACGAUUCGAAAGGGUCGCUAAUACCUGAUAAUAUCCGUCUGCCGGAUGGCGGAGGGAAGAAAGGGGAAACCCGCUUUCAGAUGGGCCCGCGUCCCAUCAGCUAGUUGGUAAGGUAAAGGCUUACCAAGGCGACGACGGGUAGCCGGUCUGAGAGGAUGUACGGCCACACUGGGACUGAGAUACGGCCCAGACUCCUACGGGAGGCAGCAGUUGGGAAUCUUAGGCAAUGGACGAAAGUCUGACCUAGCGACGCCGCGUGAGGGAAGAAGGCCUUCGGGUUGUAAACCUCUGUCAUGGGGGAAGAAGUAAGUGACGGUACCCCAAGAGGAAGCCCCUGCUAACUACGUG